CCUACGGGGGGCAGCAGUGGGGAAUAUUGCACAAUGGGGGAAACCCUGAUGCAGCGACGCCGCGUGAGCGAAGAAGUAUUUCGGUAUGUAAAGCUCUAUCAGCAGGGAAGAAAAUGACGGUACCUGACUAAGAAGCCCCGGCUAACUACGUGCCAGCAGCCGCGGUAAUACGUAGGGGGCAAGCGUUAUCCGGAUUUACUGGGUGUAAAGGGAGCGUAGACGGUGGUGCAAGGCAGAUGUGAAAGCCCGGGGCUCAACCCCGGGACUGCAUUUGAAACUGUGUGGCUGGAGUGUAGGAGAGGUAGGCGGAAUUCCUAGGGUAGCGGUGAAAUGCGUAGAGAUUAGGAGGAACACCAGUGGCGAAGGCGGCUUGCUGGACGAUGACUGACGUUGAGGCUCGAAAGCGUGGGGAGCAAACAGGAUUAGAUACCCGUGUAGUC
rnacentral:rRNA from 1 species